CAGUGAGAGCAGGUGGCGGUGGUGGUAGUGGUGGUGGUGGCGCUGGGGAGGGAAGGGCGGCUGGAGUGUUUUUAUCGGUACUGAUCAGUCUUGCCACACACACACACACACACACACACACACACCACACACUAGUGACCAGUUUUUCCAGUGUUCCUCCUGCAUCAAACACCACCAAGCAGCACCAGAGAGGCACGAUUACUUAAGGUUUCCUACCACCAGCUGAUUGCAAGCCUUCAGGAGGACCCAGAUCAAGACCCAGAGCCAAAGACACCCCUCUUCUCACAUUUACCUCUCAUUUUAGGACCACUGAGGCUUCGUUGGACGCUGGACGGCAAGGAGAGGACACGAAAAUGAAUAAGAUGACAUCAUACACAAUGAUACGAAUUAGCAGAGAGAAAAGAAGUCAGUGUCACCAUAGAAGAAGAAGAAGAAGAAGAAGAAGAAGAAGAAGAAGAAGAAGAAGAAGAAGAAGGACUCGACUGAAGUCAGAGGAAGUCGAUUAGAAGAGACGAAGGAGGGAGGGAGGGAGGAAGGGAGAAAGAGGCGUAUCGUAUCAAAAGCUAGAGAAGAGAGAGGAGAGAGGAGAGAGAGGAGAGCAAUGUUUAGCGCGUGGAGGGAGUGAGUGCGGGAGAGGGAAGGGAGAGAGAGGGAAGGGAGGGGCGGGAAGGAAAGGGAGAGAGGGCCGUGGGGGGGGGGCGGGAGGGAGGCAGUAAUGGAUGGUCUCGUCUGCUCCUGACAUGCAGAUGGACGCAAUGACUAGCGCUGUUAUACACUUCUAAACUCAAUUAUCACCAAUAUUACUUCUCUCUCUCUCUCUCUCUCUCUCUCUCUCUCUCUCUCUCUCUCUCUCUCUCUCUC